rnacentral:sRNA from 1 species
GUCCUCGAUCUGCUGCGGGCAGAUGUAGUGGAUGUGGCUGUCGAACCCGCCUGCGGUCAGAAUGCGGCCUUCGCCGGCAAUCGCCUCGGUUCCCGGUCCGACGAUGAUGUUCACCCCCGGCUGGGUGUCGGGGUUGCCCGCCUUGCCGAUCCGGUAGAUGCGCCCGUCGCGCAGACCCACAUCGGCCUUGUAGAUGCCGCUAUGGUCCACGAUCAGCGCGUUGGUGAUCACGGUGUCCACAGCGCCGUCGGCCCGCGUUGCCUGAGACUGGCCCAUCCCGUCGCGGAU